AUGGCUUCACUUGUUCGUAUGGCUCGCAACCUUUUCUCCUCUUCCUUUUACUCCCAUCUCUUGAAAGACCGUGCUGUCGCUCAACCAGCGACCAAGGCCAUACAGAAUGCUGUUUCACAGCCGUUGUCAGUUGUCAGGAACAAUAUCACACAACAAAUUAAGAGCAAACUUAGAAGUGAAAAACAAUUAUUUUUCACAUCUUCCGCGUCUUUGUUCAAAGGUUACAAUUUCAGGAACCGGCGAUUGCCAGUUACGAAAGCACGUGAGGCUUACGCGACGCAGAAUACGGCGGUCGAACUUGCAUUGAAUUCUGUAGUAAAAGUUUUCACUGUUUCGUGCAGUCCCAACUACUUACUUCCUUGGCAGAACAAGUCCCAGCGCGAAACAAUGGGCUCUGGGUUUGUAAUUUUGGGUAGAAAGAUUCUUACAAAUGCUCAUGUGGUAGCUGAUCACACCUUUGUACUUGUAAGGAAGCACGGCUGUCCCACCAAAUAUAGAGCGGAAGUCAAAGCUGUUGGUCAUGAAUGUGACUUAGCUAUAUUGACUAUUGAGAGUGAAGAGUUUUGGGAUGGUAUGAAUCCCUUGGAGCUUGGAGAUGUCCCAUUUCUACAAGAUGCUGUUGCUGUUGUGGGAUAUCCUCAAGGUGGUGACAACAUUUCAGUCACCAAAGGAGUUGUUUCAAGGGUUGAACCGACACAGUAUGUUCAUGGUGCAUCACAGCUGAUGGCAAUACAGAUUGAUGCAGCCAUAAAUCCUGGGAACAGUGGUGGCCCUGCCAUUAUGAGCAAUAAGGUUGCCGGAGUAGCAUUUCAAAAUCUUUCAGGUGCCGAGAACAUAGGUUACAUUAUUCCUGUUCCUGUAAUAAAGCAUUUUAUAUCUGGUGUAGAAGAAAAUGGAAAAUAUAUUGGAUUUUGUUCUCUGGGUUUGUCAUGCCAGACUACUGAAAAUGUGCACCUCAGAAACCAUUUUAGCAUGAGACCUGAUAAGACUGGGGUGAUUGUAAGCAAAAUUAAUCCACUUUCAGAUGCAUACAAGAUUUUGAAGAAAGAUGAUAUUAUACUUUCAUUUGAUGGUGUUCUUUUAGCAAAUGAUGGGACAGUUCCUUUCCGAAACAGAGAACGGAUAACAUUUGAUCACUUGGUGUCUAUGAAGAAACCUAAUGAAAAAGCAAUAGUCAGAGUUCUGCGGGAUGGCCAAGAGCAUGAGUUUAGCAUUAUUCUCCAACCCAUCCAACCGCUAGUUCCAGUUCAUCAGUUUGAUAAACUUCCAAGUUAUUACAUUUUCGCUGGUCUGGUAUUUGUUCCACUCACUCAGCCAUACCUUCAUGAGUAUGGGGAAGAUUGGUAUAAUACUUCACCUCGUCGUUUGUGUGAGCGGGCACUAAGGGAAUUGCCCAAGAAAGCAAAUCAACAACUUGUUAUCCUCUCUCAGGUCUUGAUGGAUGAUAUCAAUGCUGGAUAUGAGCGUCUUGCAGAAUUACAGAAUACGGAGUUUGAGAUUUAACUAAAUCUCAAAAGCUAGCUUGUUCUCCAAUUAUGACACUAUUGAUGCAAUGGCCACCCAUAACGAAUUUUUACUAGAGUAUGCUUUAGAACAGGACAACAGGACAAGCCUUUACCCUAUCCAGAAGACCUUAAUGACCAAAUUUCACAUAAAAAUCGAGCACAACCUACAAUAGACUUGCCUGGUGGGAGGGGAACAAGGUUUUGAAGGUUAAUGGAACAGAAAUUGACAAUCUAAAACACUUGCGCCAACUUGUUCAAAGCUGUAAUGCAGAAUUCUUACGAAUUGAUUUGGACGAUGAACGAGUCAUUGUCUUGAACUAUGAAAUGGCAAAAUGU